CCUCGGGGUGGCCGCUGGCCUGAGACUUCGAUGUUUGAAGGACCCGUUGAACCUGAUCCGGAUCAUGCCGGCGUAGGGACAGG
rnacentral:ncRNA from 1 species